rnacentral:rRNA from 1 species
GGUAACCUACCCUGUACACACGGAUAACAUACCGAAAGGUAUGCUAAUACGGGAUAAUAUAUUUGAGAGGCAUCUCUUAAAUAUCAAAGGUGAGCCAGUACAGGAUGGACCCGCGUCUGAUUAGCUAGUUGGUAAGGUAACGGCUUACCAAGGCAACGAUCAGUAGCCGACCUGAGAGGGUGAUCGGCCACAUUGGAACUGAGACACGGUCCAAGCUCCUACGGGAGGCAGCAGUGGGGAAUAUUGCACAAUGGGCGAAAGCCUGAUGCAGCAACGCCGCGUGAGUGAUGAAGGCCUUCGGGUCGUAAAACUCUGUCCUCAAGGAAGAUAAUGACGGUACUUGAGGAGGAAGCCCCGGCUAACUACGUGCCAGCAGCCGCGGUAAUACGUAGGGGGCUAGCGUUAUCCGGAUUUACUGGGCGUAAAGGGUGCGUAGGCGGUCUUUCAAGUCAGGAGUGAAAGGCUACGGCUCAACCGUAGUAAGCUCUUGAAACUGGGAGACUUGAGUGCAGGAGAGGAGAGUGGAAUUCCUAGUGUAGCGGUGAAAUGCGUAGAUAUUAGGAGGAACACCAGUUGCGAAGGCGGCUCUCUGGACUGUAACUGACGCUGAGGCACGAAAGCGUGGGGAGCAAACAGGAUUAGAUACCCUGGUAGUCCACGCUGUAAAC